rnacentral:rRNA from 1 species
GAUGAACGCUGGCGGCGUGCCUAAUACAUGCAAGUCGAGCGAACAGACGAGGAGCUUGCUCCUCUGACGUUAGCGGCGGACGGGUGAGUAACACGUGGAUAACCUACCUAUAAGACUGGGAUAACUUCGGGAAACCGGAGCUAAUACCGGAUAAUAUAUUGAACCGCAUGGUUCAAUAGUGAAAGACGGUUUUGCUGUCACUUAUAGAUGGAUCCGCGCCGCAUUAGCUAGUUGGUAAGGUAACGGUUUACCAAGGCGACGAUGCGUAGCCGGCCUGAGAGGGUGAUCGGCCACACUGGAACUGAGACACGGUCCAGACUCCUACGGGAGGCAGCAGUAGGGAAUCUUCCGCAAUGGGCGAAAGCCUGACGGAGCAACGCCGCGUGAGUGAUGAAGGUCUUCGGAUCGUAAAACUCUGUUAUUAGGGAAGAACAAAUGUGUAAGUAACUAUGCACGUCUUGACGGUACCUAAUCAGAAAGCCACGGCUAACUACGUG